GAUGUCAAGUAAAAUCACAUCCAGUAUGAAACUGGGGCUGGUAAUGUUUUUAUGACCAUAACUGCGGUGUUCAUUGUGGAGGCUUCAGGGAGAAAGCUGCUCCUCCUCAUUGGCUUCGGGAUCUGCUGUGGAGCCUGUGUUGUCCUGACCGUGGCUCUCAGACUCCAGCUGCUCUGCUGUGUUGACAGGACAGUGUGGAUUGGAUUCCCCACAUCAGCAUAGCCUGUGUCAUUUUGUACGUCAUUG